AUUGAACGCUGCGGCAGGCUUAACACAUGCAAGUCGAGCGGAGUGGUGGUGCUUGCACUAUCACUUAGCGGCGGACGGGUGAGUAAUGCUUAGGAAUCUGCCUAUUAGUGGGGGACAACAUUUCGAAAGGAAUGCUAAUACCGCAUACGUCCUACGGGAGAAAGCAGGGGAUCUUCGGACCUUGCGCUAAUAGAUGAGCCUAAGUCGGAUUAGCUAGUUGGUGGGGUAAAGGCCUACCAAGGCGACGAUCUGUAGCGGGUCUGAGAGGAUGAUCCGCCACACUGGGACUGAGACACGGCCCAGACUCCUACGGGAGGCAGCAGUGGGGAAUAUUGGACAAUGGGCGGAAGCCUGAUCCAGCCAUGCCGCGUGUGUGAAGAAGGCCUUAUGGUUGUAAAGCACUUUAAGCGAGGAGGAGGCUACUUUAGUUAAUACCUAGAGAUAGUGGACGUUACUCGCAGAAUAAGCACCGGCUAACUCUGUGCCAGCCGCCGCAGUAA
rnacentral:rRNA from 1 species